GAUGAAGAACGCAGCGAAAUGCGAUAAGUAAUGUGAAUUGCAGAAUUCAGUGAAUCAUCGAAUCUUUGAACGCACAUUGCGCCCGCCAGUAUUCUGGCGGGCAUGCCUGUUCGAGCGUCAUUUCAACCAUCAAGCCCCCGGGCCUGUGUUGGGGACCUGCGGCUGCCCGCAGGCCCCGAAAACCAGUGGCGGGCUCGCUGUCACCCCGAGCGUAGUAGCAACACCUCGCCCAGGGAGUGCCGCGGGCACCGGCCGUAAAACCUCGCCCUCGCGCGAGAAACACCCCAAAGGUUGACCUCGGAUCAGGUAGGAAGACCCGCUGAACUUAAGCAUAUCAAUAAGCGGAGGA
rnacentral:misc_RNA from 1 species